rnacentral:lncRNA from 1 species
AAUAUAGAAGUGAAUAAUAAAGCCCAAUAAUGUCCAAAACAGAAGAUAAUAUAGCAUGGAGCAAUCAAAAAUUAUAGAUACAUUGGAGACGUAUCACAGUUUCCUACAUCACAGAACAUGUACCAGCAUGUUAACUAUACAUGCACCAAAAUGCGAUCCACGCACUAUACAUCCAAGAACAUCAAGGAACCAACUGGCUGCUCAAUAGUGAUAGGCUGAGUGCACCAGCUCCAGAUUGACUGAAAAAUCCCCCAAACAUCCCUUCAUCAUCUACAGCAGGAACACUUGCAGCAGGAACACUUGAGGCAACACCAUGUUCCUGAAAAGUAAGAUUCACAAAUCUUUAAAGGUAGGAACAUGACAAUAAGAACUUACUACAGGAAAUUAAAUAGGAAUUAUAAGUUAAGGAUCAAGCUGCCAUAGUCACUCAUUUCUAAUGCAGUAAUUUGAAUAGUGUGAAACUAUUCUAGGGUAUGUGCACAAAGAACAGGAGCAUUUUGAAACUUUUCCAGGAAAUAAAAAAGGGUAAUGUUAAGUACUUCUCACACCUCUAGUAACCCAAAAUAUAACUUAGGUUGUGAGAUAUUACUUUUACUCUACACAUAAUCACAAAAGAAGUCAUGAUCUUCGUUUCCAAAUAAAGUAUGAACUACACUCGAGUCUAUUGCAAUGCAAAUUAGUGAAUUACAUCAAGUCGCCAAAGUUCUAAACAAAAUUUCCUAUUUACAGUAUUGAGAACCAACACAUGCAAAGGCUGAUAUAAAUUUUGGCAGCAUAACAACUGUAGAUUGGACAACUGGACAUAAGAAAAUAUAUUAUGAUCCCUCCAACAUUAUCACACAGCCCCAUUAAUCAACAUUAAUCCCAAAUGAUCCAACACCACACAGGCUACCAUCAUACAUCAUAGAAGCAUGCAUAUUGUCACAAGUAUGUGAACAUCACAGCGAACAGACCAUCACUAGUUGUAUCAUUUGAGAUCAGUUGGAGAAAUGCAUACAUGAAAAGAGCCGGGAUUUGUUUCUUGUUGGGCACACAAAGCUGGCGGUUCUUCGCUAUUUUCUAGAAUCUGCAAAAGAAGAGUCAGGUUUUAGAAGCAAUCCUUAUCAUGCUUUAAAUGUAUUGCGUGUUUUUGCUUGAGAUGAUUGACUACAUACUUGGAUAGUAGAUGGUUGUGGAGAUCCAGGAGGAGAAAGUGAACGUGAAGGAGGUGGAACCGGCGGCGGUGGUAUUUCUCCAAUAGGUACACCUUAGUUAGUUGCCAAAGUCUGCAAAACAAGAAAAUUCAAAUAGUGGUUACAUUCAAAUGCUAGUAAAUUAAUUGAUAAACAUCAAGUGUAUAACCAGCACCUGAAGAAACUUAUGUAUCCCAUUGCAGUGCUCGUACAUGCUAACACCCCAUGACAAGAGAUUGUUGGCAUAAGCCUCUGCUUUUUUAGUCUUCUCAGACUCCUUUCUACGCACAUCUUCAAUUUCUUCUACUCGACGACGUUUCAAGGCUGCUGAAGAUGUACCAGUAGCUCUCACCUCAGAAAUAACCUCGAUGUCAUUGACAAUGCCAUUAAAGAGAGACCAUGUACACAUUGAAGUUCUUGCCAGGACCCUUUGGUCCAGGGAUCACCAUGCUAAGAAAGAUAUUUUGGGUUUUCAAGUAAAGAGCAGGUGGCAGUUUCAAAGGAGCAAGAAACACAAACCAACAAGAGUAUUGUGUUAACCCGAAAUUAAAAGGGUUGAAGCCAUCAGAGGACUUGACUAGCUUAACAUUGCGUGAAUCACUUGCAAACCCAUCCUCAUUGAAAGAUUUCCAUGAUUCACUAUCACCUGGGUGCACCAUCAUUCCUAGAUUUUCUUGGAUGCCUUCCAUGUGCCAUCUCGUGUGCUUAGCAAAUUCAGGCUGCAUGAACAACCUUUGCAAUCUUGAUAGAAAUGGAAGGUAUCGCAGAACCUUACGUGGGGAUGGGUUUACGCUUCUUAUUUGGGCAGUCAUUGUUAACUACCUUAUAUCUUGCUUCACCACAGAAAUCACACUUCAGUUUUUCCUCUCUAUCCUUAUAGUAUAGCAUGCAAUGGUUAACGCAUGCAUCUAUUUUCAGGAGUGGCAUUUUCAAAUGGCCUAAGAUACACUUGCACUCAUACAAGCUUGAUGGCAUUUUAUUGACUUGUGGGAGUGUAUCUUGCGAAAGUGCUAUUUAUGCAGUCGCCUGACAGAUUGUAUUGUGACUUAAUUCCCAUCAAGCAUGUAACAGUAGCAAAGCGUGGGGUUUGGGUGAACUCAUGGAGUGGCUCUCUAACAGCUGACAACAUGGCAUAAAAAGCUCUGGCAUCCGGUGUUGGCUCCUCGUGUGAGUUAUCGACAUGAAUUGAAUCCCCAAAGUCACACAACAUGUCCUCUAAGCAAUUAAUGUUGACAGACUCCACUCUAUCUACAUGAACAUGACGCUCCCCAUGUGCAAUCCAUUAGUUGGGCAUGAACCCCCAAUGACAAAGAUGAGAGGUCAUCAAUUGUUUUGUUCUUCUACUACCAUUGCAACAUUUUGAGCAAGGAUAGGAAACUCCAAACUUGGAACUACGGACACCCUAAAAAACAUGGUUCACAAAAGCAUUUGUAUUCCGUAUCCACUCAUCAGAAUGUCUUCCAUUAUCCUUCCACCCACUAUACAUCCAGCUACGCUGAGCAUCCAAAGACAUGGUCUGGUUUUCUACUUAAAUCUGAAAUAAAAAUAAAUUGCUACAAUCACCAGCCGCAUCCCCACAUAGAAUGCAUCAUACACACUAAAAUAGAAAACCACUCAUCAGCCAACAAAAAAUAACCCCGGUUUAUCAUACAGAUGAACAAUGCAUUAAUCGACAUUUAUUCAUGGAAAGAACAGAUCAUAAUACCUACUUGAUUCCAGUUGAGCAAUGUCUUUGUUCUUUGUUGCUUUGACACAACUGUUGUUUCGACACCACGAACAGGGAAAUUUUCUUCAAGCAAACAACACCCGACACUAGUCAGUUUCUGAAAAAAUGUAGAAAACCAAUGAACGAUGUUGGAGGACUUCCAUUUAUUCAUAACAUAAAGCAGAGGCUACUAGCUUUGGCCAGAGAAAACAAACUCACACGAAGAAAAAACAUGUACAAAUAAUAUAAAGCAUGUAAAUGGAUUUAUAACACAUACACAGAGACACAUGCACACACGCAGAACGUAUGAGCUUGCCAACAAUGGGA